CAUAAGGAUUCAAUUAAAGCAAAUCUUUAUCUUUUGUAAUCCCAUUUUAAUUCUAAACCUAACACUAUAACUUAUCCUAUAAAUAUAAUAAGAUGGCUCUUAUUUUCUAGGCUUAACCUAAUUCUCUCUCUAUCAAACAAAUAGAAAAUAGAAAAGAGCCACCUUAUUUUCGAAAUCUUCUUCUUCUCUCCUUAAAAUUUCGAAGCCGAUAGUGAUUGAGGAGUUGCCCACACAAUUCAAGUCGAAGAUAGUGUGAAAGAUUGUGUAGAAUUCUAUCAACUGAAGUAGAAUUCAGGUUCAAAUCUUGAUCAUACUCUGUGACAGAAAGGAUCAAGGGUUAGAGACCUAAACGGAAUGAGUCAUAUAAUUUUGCUACAACCAAUGUGGUCUUUCAACAUUUCUAACAAAAAUUUUGGCUCUU